CUGACUUUUCUCUUUGAUGAAUCAAUUCAACAUUUGUUGUCGCUAUCAAUUAGUGGCCUUUGUUGCAAGUAAGUAUUUGCAUACUUGAGCUUGCCUGCAUCCUAAAGUACUUUAUGCAUCUUUAUAUUUAUGCAGCCGGCCGGAGGUGAGAAAAAUCUCGAGUUUGUUUAAUGUGUUUCUGAGCAUGAAAUAUUUUUCGUUCGUAAAAUAUCUUUACUUAUGUACGAGUGAUUUGAAUCCGUUGAAAAUGAUGGUGCAUCUUCUUUCUGGGUGGAAGUUCUUCUAUCAGUACUGCAACCCCUUCAAAUAUAAGUAUUUAGCCCCACAUCUGACUGACUCCAUUUCUAUUAUUGAUGCUAUGCAAUGAUACAGAAGUGUAAUAAGGAGAUGAUAUGAGACUGAGGAUGACGGUGCGAGUAUGAAAGGAGACUAUUUCACUGCCGUGUCAAUGAUGAUUGUUAAAAAGAUUCUGUUUGUUGUAAAAGACUAAACGCUAUUAUUCUAUGUUGAGAUGGAUGCCUUUGGCACAGUGACCCACAUCCAAUAAGCAUUGACGAUAUCUUCCUCAGUCGACUGAAUGUGUUCCCCGUGGACGGAGGGCUCAACCAAUCUUGUUCAUUUCCGUUGACACGCUGCAUUUCCUUCAACUUUGACGUCCCUGACCAUCACCUCCAAAAUAACAAGGUUCACCUCAAGUCAGACGUGUCGAGCCGCCAAGUAAAGAAAAAUCUGUAGCGUUGUUGAAGGAGAGCACAAAGCGAUUCAUUCGUGAAUAGUGGUCGCUGAUUGUUUCACCCUACAAUUCAAGUUGUGUGGAUUAUGAGAUUGAGAUUAUCUCAUCCAACUUCCUCCUGAAAAUUGUUACGUGUCACAUCUAAAAGGUUGUCUCAAAUUGUUACGCGAGUAAACAAACUAAUCGCGUCCAAGGCUAGUUUUCGGUGAACCAUUGUUAAC